rnacentral:rRNA from 1 species
AAAUCUGCCAAGGCGCUUGAGAGAACUCGGGUUAAGGAACUCUGCAAAUUGAUACCGUAACUUCGGAAGAAGGUAUGCCUUCGACGGUGUAGGGAUUUACUCCCGAAGCUGUUGAAGGUCGCGGGUAAUCGGUGGCUGCGACUGUUUAUCAAAAACACAGGACUCUGCGAACACGCAAGUGGAAGUAUAGGGUCUGACGCCUGCCCGGUGCCGGAAGGUUAAUUGAUGGGGUUAGCCGCAAGGCGAAGCUCUUGAUCGAAGCCCCGGUAAACGGCGGCCGUAACAAUAACGGUCCUAAGGUAGCGAAAUUCCUUGUCGGGUAAGUUCCGACCUGCACGAAUGGCGUAACGCUGGCCACACUGUCUCGACCCGAGACUCAGUGAAGUUGAAAUCGCUGUGAAGAUGCGGCGUUCCCGCGGCAAGACGGAAAGACCCCGUGAACCUUCACUACAGCUUUACACUGAACUUUGAACCUUUCUGUGUAGGAUAGGUGGGAGGCUAUGAAACUUGGGCGCUAGCUCGAGUGGAGCCAACCUUGAAAUACCACCCUGGGAUGUUUGAAGUUCUAACCUUGGUCCGUAAUCCGGAUUGGGGACAGUGUAUGGUGGGUAGUUUGACUGGGGCGGUCUCCUCCCAAAGAGUAACGGAGGAGUGCAAUGGUACGCUCAGCGCGGUCGGUCAUCGCGCUCUAGAGUGCAAAGGCAUAAGCGUGCUUAACUGUGAGACAGACACGUCGAACAGGUACGAAAGUAGGUCUUAGUGAUCCGGUGGUUCUGUAUGGAAGGGCCAUCGCUCAACGGAUAAAAGGUACUCCGGGGAUAACAGGCUUAUUCCUCCCAAGAGUCCACAUCGACGGAGGAGUUUGGCACCUCGAUGUCGGCUCAUCACAUCCUGGGGCUGUAGCAGGUCCCAAGGGUAUGGCUGUUCGCCAUUUAAAGUGGUACGCGAGCUGGGUUCAGAACGUCGUGAGACAGUUCGGUCCCUAUCUGCCGUGGGCGUUGGAAACUUGAGGGUGAGCUGUCCUUAGUACGAGAGGACCGGGAUGGACGUAUCUCUGGUGUUCCGGUUGUCACGCCAGUGGCACUGCCGGGUAGCUAUAUACGGACGGGAUAAGCGCUGAAAGCAUCUAAGCGCGAAGCCCCCCCCAAGAUUAGGUUUCCCUGGGAACUCGAUUCCCCUAAAGGGCCGUCGGAGACUACGACGUUGAUAGGCUGGGUGUGUAAGUGCAGCAAUGCAUUGAGCUAACCAGUACUAAUUGCCCGUGAGGCUUGACCU